rnacentral:lncRNA from 1 species
AAAUAAACAGCCUUGUUGAUCACACAAAGCCUGUUUGAUGGUCUCUUCACACUGACGUGAGUGAAAUUUUGGUGCCGUGACUCGGAUCUGGGGAGUCACAAUCCGAGAUCAAUCCCCUGUCCUCCUGCUCUUUGCUCCACCUACGACCUCGGGUCCUCAGACCAACCAGCCCAAGGAACAUCUCACCAGUUUUAAAUCCGGACCCCACUGAAAAUCGUACUGUCCAACUCACCUGGCAGCCACUUCCAGAGUCCCUGGAACUCUGGCCCAAGGCUCUGUGACUGACUCCUUCCCAGAUCUUCUCAGCUUAGCAGCUGAAGACUGACGCUGCCCAAUCGCCUCAGAAGCCCCCUGGACCAUCACAGACGCCAAGCUUCAGGUCCGGGCUUUAGGUAGAUAAGGGAACUUCAGAGAACAACUUCAUCCUGUGUUUUGGGAGACACGGAGGACUGAGCGAUGAGAAGUAGGUCAUCCUUUCCCCAUGGCUGCAUAAAAUAGAUUGAAUCAAAUGGAGCCCAUCAUGCUGGCUGCUUCUCUCCGCUGGGGCCAGGAGCAGCCUGACUGCAGAGUCAGCUGAAGACAGACAGCAGUCAGAGUGCUGGCCUUCUCCUUCCAAAAACACAGCCGUUCAAGUUCACAGAGACUGAAGAAUACGAUAAACACAGAUAAACGUGCUUGACGGACAGACAACCGGGCAGUGAUCUGCUGGGUUCAGCCAAUGUGAUGAGCAGAAGUGGGAAGAAAUCAGUCUCCUGUGCGGAUAGAAUCAGGAAACCCGUCUAAUCCCACUCUUCUCCAUUCCAUUCUCCAUACCGAAACCAGUGUCAUCUUCAAUGAGAUAAAGCAUAUCUAUAUCACACCCCUGUUUACAAAAAACCAUCACUACUGUCUCCGCUGCAUUUGUCUUAAUCGCAUAAUCCGGCUCCUAGUUCUUGGGCCAGUUUUACCAUGUGCCAGUUCCCCCGAACCAGUUUCUCCCAUUGGAAGGUUUUGUCUCUCUGCACAGCUCUGACCUCUGCCUGUGUUGCUCUUUCCCCAGAGCCUUGCCUGGCUGACUUCUACUCCUCCCUCAUGUGGCAGGAAAUCUCACCUUUGCAGAAAGACCUUCCAUGCCAACCUACACAGCAAAGGUCUUCUCCCAGGCCAUGCCCCUUUCAACUCUCAGCUCCUCACUUGUUUUCAUCAUAACAAUUACCCCAAAUGAUAAUGAUGGUUUUUUUUUUUUUUUUUUUGAAACAGAGUCUUGUUCUGUUGCCCAGGCUGGAAUGCUGUGGCGUUAUCUUGGCUCACUGCAACCUCCCACUUCCUGGGUUCAAGCAAUUCUCGUGACUCAGCCACCUGAGUAGCUGGGAUUACAGGUGUGUACCACCAUGCUCAGAUAAUUUUUGUAUUUUUAGUAGAGUUGGGGUUUCAUCAUGUUGGCUAGGCAAUUACAGGCGUGAGCCACUGCGCCCAGUUACAAUGGAUCUUAUGUAUCUGACCACUUACCCGUUUUGUCCUUCCUUCCUAGUAGAAUUGGACUCCCAUGCAAGUGGAGACCCAGUCAGUCUUGUUCACUGCAAUCUCCCCAGGGCCUGCCACAUCUAAAAGACAUAUUUUCUGAUAAAUGAAUCAUAACAGUUG